UGUGUUUGUCUCAGCAGAGUGGAACACAACCUGGAAUUUUUAUUCUUCUCUGUGCAAAGAAAAAUCAAGGAAUCAUGGAAUUGUUGAGUUUGGAAGAGACACCCAGUGAUCACUGCCUUGAGGAGCCUGUUCAGUGCCCAACCACCCUCUGGGGGAAGAACCUUUUCCUAACAGUCCAGAAAUGCAACUGCACCUCCUGGAAACUCCAUUACCCCACUGGAAACACAGGGAUACAGCCCAGGGACACAGCUUUAAAGUUUGGGCUGCCUGUUCCCCUCCCUGGAAACAGGAAGGAAAAACAGAGCCACCUUAAUCACCAAGCUACGUGGGGCUGGAUGCACUUCCAGGGAUCUGCUCUUACCACUGAAUGACUCUGCCUUUCAUCUCCUCUGAACAUGGAGUUCUGAACUUCCAUCCUCAAAUUCCCGAUGGGCUGCAGCAGGAAAGAUGAGUGGAACAUAAAAAACUUCAAAGACAGCUACUUCAAACUCUUGCAGACUUCCAUCUCUCCCUUCAUCACCCGUUUUCUCUCACUCUUUUGGUGUAACUCUUGGUUAAUGUUUUAAUUUCCAGUUCAAUUCGGGUUUUUUCCCCACUUGUAGAGGAAACCAAGAGUUUUCUGACUCUGUAGUAGGUUUCCCUGCAGUCACCUGUGCAAAAUCCAAGGAAAAAGUAGGUUAAUAACCACAGAAAGGCCCUUAUGUUGCCUGACAGCUCUAGUGGGCACUUUCCAAGUGUCACUGGGUUCUUUAACCCACAGCCCCAGCACUGAUCAGAUCAUGUGGGAAUGAUGAAAUUCAACCAAACUCAGCUUCCUGCAGCUUUUAGUUCUGUUUUUGUUUCCCAUUGUGCUCUGGAGGCUGACAACAGGUGAGGAAUGUUAUUUUAUGGCCUGGUUUCCAUCGCUGAGCAGGUCCCCUUUGGUGACACAGAAAUCAUCAGGAAGAUUUCCAUUGGACUCAAACUGCCAGAGGGGAGGGCUGAAUGGGAGAUUGGGAAGGAAUUCCUCCCUGUGAGGAUGGGGAGGAGAUGGGAUGGAAUUCCCAGAGCAGCUGGGGCUGCCCCUGGAUCCCUGGCAGUGCCCAAGGCCAGGCUGGACACUGGGGCUGGAGCACCUGGGACAGGGGAAGGUGUCCCUGCCAUGGCAGGGGUGGCACUGGAUGAGUUUUAGGGUCCCUUCCAACCCAAACCAUUUUGGGACUCUGUGCAAUUGUGGUUGUGGUGAUACUGAGAGCUUUUUCCAAGGGCUGCUCCAUGGAUCUGUGGGAAAUCUCAGGGGGAGAUUCCCACUGGCACCAGUGAAACCAGACCCUGCUGCUGUUCCCAGCUCCACUAAAGUCUGUUUAAACAGAGCCAAUAAAUCCCAUCUCUCCUGGUAACCUCUAAAAGAAACUCUGAGUUCAGGUUUAAAUUAACUCCAUAAUUAGAGUGACAACAAUUAAAGAGUGCAAAUCCUUAUUUAUUUGCCCAGCUGUUACCAGCAGUGCUCAAACAUUGAGAGUUACAGAUAUCUUUUAACUUUAUCUGGGUUUGUUUGUACAACAUUCUGACUAAACAGUAACAAAGCUGGCAAAGUGUGACAUCAUCCUGUGUCAUACCUGCAGUGUGUGGGAGGGAGACAAGGGAAAUCUGAGAAUCCAAAGCCCACAGACUCCCCUGAUGAUGAGGGGAUUUGUUCCUUCCAUAACUCAGAACGUCACAAAAGAGCAAUGUAAUAUUAUGCAGUUAUUCUCAAUAAAUAUUUACAGUGAAUUUUAAGAGCCUAUUCCAAAAUGUAGACAAUUAAACCUUGAAAGGAGGCAGCCAGGAUUUAACAGAGUUAAUUUCCCACAGCUGAUUACUCAAAGUGAUUUUACUUUUACUUUUUACACAGUCGCUCUCCCCUCCUUCCCAUUUUCUCUUUCCCUCAUUCCUGCUGGAAAGCAGGGAAGGUACUGGGAUCCUAAUGGAGCCUUCGGGAAAACUGGUGCAAUUUUUAAACCCUUCACUAUGUAAAACCCUCCAAGGGGUGCACGAGGGGUUGGGUGGUGUGGGACAGCCCUGGUGGCCUUUAGGGACAGCCACCACAUUCCCAGUGGCCCUACAGCCUGGUGGCAUCAGAAGCAGCCCUGAUGCUCCCAUUCCACAGCUGCCACAUGAGUUUUUUUGCUUUUUUUCAGGAUCAGAAGAAAAUUCUGGAACUGUGCUGGCACGAUGUGAGUGCUGAGGUGGAAUCCAAAGAAUGGAUCUCUCAAUUGAAGUUCAAAAUGGAGUCAGCUGUUAUUAGCCCACGAUAAUUGCACCAGCAUCAAAGAUAGGUGGAGGCUUCUGAUGAGAAGGAAGAUUUUCUCAUUUUCAGACAAGGGCUUCUGUAUUUCCAUUUCAACCACUGUCAACACACAUUGGGCAGCAACUCUGUUUCCAUUCAUCCUUUUGAAAAGAUGCUGUGACAAGAAUUUCAAACACCAUUCAUGGCCAAAUACUGCAUUUGGAUUUCUUGGAACUAAGAAAUGAAAAGGAAUGUUCCUUUGCUCCAAGAGAAGUGUCUCCAAUUCCGUGUGAUGCAUUAAAAACAUCAGAUGAGAACCCCAAGAGCUGACAUAAGGAUGUGAUAAAACUUUCAGGUUUUAUGGAAAGAAGCAUUUUUCAGUUUCCUCUUAAUAAAUGAAAAACCCACAUGCACAGUGCAAAGAAAUAUAUUAUGUCUAAGCAUGUAAAAUAUGUCAGCUUGAACAUUUUACAGUUUAAUGAAAAAUUGUUUUUUCAGGACAGUUUAUAUUACGUUUGCUGGAGAAAAAAUAAAAACCUUUUAUUUUCUCCAUAUCACAGUCCAAAAAUUACCAUUUUUUUCCUAGCUGUAAAACCCCAGCAUUGGGAUAUUUAUGCAUUGUGAAUUAGAAGCAUUUUUUACUGGCUAUCAAAAUUUUAAUAGCAUUAGCUCUACUUGUAACACAUUUUCAUUAAAAUGAGAAUGUGGAAAGCAGUAAAAUGAAUAUAGACCCUCAUCAGUAGCAGUGAGGCUUUACGGUGGUCACGGGAUCAGCUGGGUUAUAUUUGUUACAGAUCUUGGUCAGACAACAGGACAAACCCCUUCUCUUUCACUGACAUCAACAUUAAAUUCUGCUAUUGAAUGGAUUUAAUAUGUAGAAGUUAUAAGUAAUUCUUUAACUUUCAUUUUAUUGAACCUGCUGCUUCCUGCCUUAGGCUUGUACUUGACCUUUGGUGUCCAUAAAAUUCCCAUUUAGUGCAGAUAUAGAGGUAAGCUGGGACUAAGGAGUGCCAAAUUUUGGGGGAAUUUAAUUUAACUCUUGGUUAACACCUGAAGAAAGCUUGGCAGCAGCACAUUUCUCAUGAAGGGAAACACGAGUGCUCCCUUGGCCUCCCUCAAAACAGAAACAAACACACUUCAGCUUUGAACCUUGAGGCCCAGAAAGGACAGACUGCAGCAAUAACUCAUUUAUUAACUAAUACAGGUUUAAAUUAACAUCAGUGUGCUGCUUUGUGUCCCCUCUCACACCCCGGACCUGCA